rnacentral:rRNA from 1 species
UACGUAGGUGGCAAGCGUUGUCCGGAAUUAUUGGGCGUAAAGCGCGCGCAGGUGGUUUCUUAAGUCUGAUGUGAAAGCCCACGGCUCAACCGUGGAGGGUCAUUGGAAACUGGGGAACUUGAGUGCAGGAGAGAAGAGUGGAAUUCCACGUGUAGCGGUGAAAUGCGUAGAGAUGUGGAGGAACACCAGUGGCGAAGGCGACUCUUUGGCCUGUAACUGACACUGAGGCGCGAAAGCGUGGGGAGCAAACAGGG